GACGAACGCUGGCGGCGUGCCUAAUACAUGCAAGUAGAACGCACAGUUUAUACCGUAGCUUGCUACACCAUAGACUGUGAGUUGCGAACGGGUGAGUAACGCGUAGGUAACCUGCCUGGCAGCGGGGGGUAACUAUCGUAAACGCUAGCUAUUACCGCAUAAUAUUCAUUAUUGCAUGAUAAUUAAUUGAAAGGUGCAAUUGCACCACUACCAGAUGGACCCGCGUUGUAUUAGCUAGUAGGUGAGGUAACGGCUCACCUAGGCGGCGAUACAUAGCCGACCUGAGAGGGUGAUCGGCCACACUGGGACUGAGACACGGCCCAGACUCCUACGGGAGGCAGCAGUAGGGAAUCUUCGGCAAUGGACGAAAGUCUGACCGAGCAACGCCGCGUGAGUGAAGAAGGUUUUCGGAUCGUAAAGCUCUGUUGUAAGAGAAGAACGGGUGUGAGAGUGGAAAGUUCACACUGUGACGGUAUCUUACCAGAAAGGGACGGCUAACUACGUG
rnacentral:rRNA from 1 species